rnacentral:lncRNA from 1 species
GCUGGUGGUUCUACAGGUGCUGCCCUAGUUGCUGUGCGGGCUACACCCUGCCCCUACCACGGCCUUGACUGGAUCCUAAGCCUUUAAUGUCCCUAAAAAGUGGUACUGGUGGUCGUUCGUCCUGACUGGUAGCACGUGUACUCACCAUCUAUGAGAAUAUAGAAUAAUAACAUUUUAGUACCAGAAUCAAAAGAUUCGCAGGAUGGGAAUUUCAAGAAUGUAAUGUUUUUCCUAAAGGUUCUACAGUCUCCUGAGGAUAAGUUCAGACGUCUCCAUACCGAUCUGCGAGACUCUACUAAACCGGCUCAUGACCUCAAAGACCUAUGUAACUUAGGCGGUGAUACUAACUUGUCACGACCCCAAACCACCCCGGUCGUAAUGGGGGCUAUCACAGUACUAGACAAGCUGAAUCAACAAUUACAACAUCGAGUUCUUUUAUAAAUUCUUUUUUCUAGUCAGAUAAGUCUCAAAUCUCUCAUUUAUAAUCUAUCUAAAAAUACGCAGAAAAAAGUACGUAGGUACAUCAACACAACCCGAAUCUGGUGUCACUAGUCAUUAGCCACUAAGUACAAAUCAACACUGUCAACUUAAUACAAAAUAAGUUUGAAAUAUAAAAUAGCAGAAUAGGAAUUUAACAAACCCGACCGGUCAUUUUGAGCUAUAGUGCAUUGUUCAAUAGUUUAAGGCUGUGAGCAACUUCACUUAAGGUAUUAUGACUUGUACGCAUGGGCAAUUUUGUCAACUUUUCGAGCAGGAUUAGAAAUUAUUAUAAAUUGGAUUGUAAUUACUAAUUGGGGAUAUAUUAAUGGAUUUUCAUAAUUAUUGGCUAGAUUUGGAGCAUUUAGCAUCGAUUUGACUCUUUGAAA